rnacentral:rRNA from 1 species
AUUGAACGCUGGCGGCAGGCCUAACACAUGCAAGUCGAACGAGCGGCGGACGGGUGAGUAAUGUCUGGGAAACUGCCUGAUGGCGGGGGCUAACUACUGGAAACGGUAGCUAAUACCGCAUACCCUCGGAUGUGCCCAUAUGGGAUUAGCUAGUAGGUGGGGUAAAGGCUCACCUAGGCGACGAUCCCUAGCUGGUCUGAGAGGAUGACCAGCCAACCGGGAACGGAGACACGGUCGAGACUCCUACGGGAGGCAGCAGUGGGGAAUAUUGCACAAUGGGCGGAAGCCUGAUGCAGACAUGCCGCGUGUAUGAAGAAGGCCUUCGGGUUGUAAAGUACUUGCAGCGGGGAGGCGGUACCCGCAGAAGAAGCACCGGCUAACUCCGUGCCAGCAGCCGCGGUAAUAC